UACGUAGGGUGCAAGCGUUGUCCGGAAUUAUUGGGCGUAAAGAGCUCGUAGGCGGUCUGUCACGUCGGCUGUGAAAUCCCGAGGCUCAACCUCGGGUCUGCAGUCGAUACGGGCAAACUUGAGUGUUGCAGGGGAGACUGGAAUUCCUGGUGUAGCGGUGAAAUGCGCAGAUAUCAGGAGGAACACCGGUGGCGAAGGCGGGUCUCUGGGCAACAACUGACGCUGAGGAGCGAAAGCGUGGGGAGCGAACAGG
rnacentral:rRNA from 1 species